rnacentral:lncRNA from 1 species
UUGUUUCAAUCCGUUGUAUAAACAAAACAAGUUGAGAUUCCAACAAAAAAAUGUACCAACGCCAGAAAAAAAACAACGAAAGGACCACAAUUUAUAUUUAUGAUUUUAAAGGAUCAGUUAAUGACUUUUUCAGAGAUUAAAUUGAAUUUGAAUAUUUUCAGAUACCAUACCAAUGACAAUUGAUAUCACAACAUAUAUAAAUGUUAUCGAAAACAUCAUUAAUAUAACCAUAUUUUACUUUAUCUUUUUAAUGUAACUGUUGAUAAAGACUUUAUAUAGUUAGUUUCUUU